CCCCCCCCCCCCCGUUUCCAUUCAGUUUCUGUCUAGUAUCCUGUCCACCCGCCUGCUGAGAUCCCUCUCUCCUUCAGCCUUCAUUGUAGGCUCCCGCGCUUCUGAUGAAUCAUUCCCUGCUUCUAUGAUACUGGUUAUAUACUGUAGACCUCGCAGAGUGAAAUCAUGUAAUCCACAAUCAGGUUUAGCAUUCAGACCGGUUUUGUGCAUUCCACCUUAAAUUGUUUUUGUUUUUUGUAUCAUUUUGUUGUUUUUUUAAAAUAAAUAAAGAUACCAUUAUGCACAUUGACAUACCCGUGUAUUCAAAACUCAUUCUGAAUACCUACUCCGAAUUAAGGACCUGAUAUCAUCUCCUGUUGCCCUGUUACAACACUUCAAAUUGUACUUAUGAUUCUGAAGAUUCAAUAAAAUGUCAUUUUUUUUUUUCUCAGAUUGUUGUUUGUGCUAUAUGUCUUGUGUGCAGCAGCAGAGCGGGACAGAUGUAAAGGAAGUUGUAAGGAGUAUGCACCUUGUGAACACAAUAUAAACUACAAUAAAAGGGAAUCACUAAAAGACCAGGACUCGAGAUGAGAUCAUAAUGCAGAACCACAGUAGAUAUUAGUGGUUCUGAUAGAAGUAUUCUAUUUCUUCUCUCUCGUGUUCAUGUAUUCAUUCAAUAUGUGAAUCACUUGAAGAACAAUAUUGGGGGGGGGGGGGGGAUAAUAUAGUGAGGCUGAUUUGAGAUUAUGCAAGAUUCAGUUGCCAGUUUAUUAGGUACACCGAGCUAAAACGUUUGCGGUACAAUGCAACAGCCCUGCAAUGAAUCAUACCUUCAUGAAAAUGCACGAUGUUCAGUUUUACAUGAAACUUAAUGGUCAUUUUGAAGGAUGUAGUUUGAGCUUCUACAAACCAAUGAAUACAGUACAUGAGGGGAAGAGUUAUUGCAGGACAUUAGUUUGAGCUUAAUAAACUGAGUUAGUUUUUUUAAAUGGCACUGUGUGCUGUGUGUGUAAAUUAGGUUGCUCUGUGAUGGCGUUAUAAGUAGAACGUGACAUCAGCUCCAUUGUCAUUGUUGACAAUGGAGGAAAUCACCAUCCAGCCAGUGGGGCAUUUUUACCCGGACGUUAGCCUGUCAGGUCAUACUUCCUGUUUGUGUAUCGCCCUUAACAAUGACACUUUUCGGCACCCAAACAAAACGUAAUUAUUACUGUUGUGGGUUUAUUAGGUUUGCAGCUUGUCGUGAAAAUCAAGCCUGAAAGCCCAAAACACGAGGUAAAAAAAUAAAACCCUCAUUCGCCGUAUCUUCUUUUCCUUAUUUUAGGCAGGGGGGCGGGGUUUCAUUUAUACAUCCACGAGCUGAUUCUCGCUUCCUCCGAACGCUUCCGAUCUCGGCCGAUCUCCUGCACCGGAGGCAGUGCUGCGUUUUAGCUGCGUGUCCUUCUCGCGUCCACAGCGUCCAUCUCUGACACUGUUUCCAUCAUGGUGGACGUUUUGAUGUUGAUGUUUUUCGCCAUCGUUGGCCUCGUCUUCCUCUCCUACAUCAUCUACCUGCUGUGAUGAUGAUGAUGAUGAUGAUGAUGAAGCGUCCUGCUCGGCCACACAAACGGUUGCUGCACAGGCGAUCACGGGAUGUGUGUGUUUUCCCCUGUCCUGCAUCCCUGGUUUCCAUCAUGGACAAUGGGAGAGGAGCCGGGUCAAGACACGAUGGGUUCCUCAUUCGGAGCUCUCCUGUAGGAGGGGCAGGGCAAUGCAGCUGAGAUAAACAACUGGACAAGAAGUGGAAGCCCCCACUUCUCCUCCUCCUUUAUUGGGUCAGGGUCCUCCUACAAAAUGUCACUGCUCCCACUUAUUUGCAAUCAGUCUAACCAGUGUAUUAUCUAUGCUACUGAAGGUUGUGCAUGCUUCUCUUUAAAGGAGGAGACAUGUUACCUCUGCACAAGUCCUAUACAUCCAUGGAUGCAGGACGGUCUCGUAGUGUUGAGCGUAAUACAAGGUGUAGAAUUUGCCUUUCUAGCAACACUGUGAGCUGAUUUUUUUUUUUUUUUGGCUCCGACUGUAACGUGUUAUGUUUAGUUUUGACCGUAUCAUCCUUACGAUUUUGUGGCCAACCCUCCUGUGUUUUUGCCUUGGUUGAGUCAGCCUUCACGUCAGUGUUACUUUAUUCACGUGCUGCCAAUAUGUUCUUCUCCUCACUACUAUCAAGAUUCUCUGUCAGGUUCAAGCCAAGGGGAAUGUUUCACUCAUAUGACUCAGUGUUCUGUACAUUAACCAUGUUUGUCUGUUUCUGUUUAUUACGUUGGCUGCAAAAUGACGUCUACGGGGAGCAAUGAUGUCAUUUCAGAAAUGCAUCAACCGUGUGCUCCUCUCAGUUUUACCACCAAACAUAUCUAUUAUGUGUCAUGUGGUAUCGAUGAUGUUAAGUUUACUGAUGCACUGGUGAUUUACUGAGGUUAAUGACAGUAUUUCACAUGACAUGUCUAAUAAAGAUGAUUUCGGUAAACCCA